rnacentral:rRNA from 1 species
UGCGAUGGAGGGACGGAGAAGGUUAUGCCAGCUUGGCGAUGGUUGUCCAAGUGGAAGGAUGUAGUUAGGUUUAGUAGGCAAAUCCGCUAGACUAUUAAUGAGAUCUGAUAGCAAGCUGUACUUGUACAGCGAAGUGGCAAAUACCCUGCUUCCAGGAAAAGCUUCUAAACUUAUGAUUAUAUGAACCGUACCCCAAACCGACACAGGUGGUCAGGUAGAGAAUACUAAGGCGCUUGAGAGAACUCGGGUGAAGGAACUCGGCAAAAU